UAAAAGAAAGGAGGGAACAAAUAAUUAGACUAAUUUUGUUAGGGCCUUUUGUGCAAGUUUGAACUAAACAAUAUUUCAAUUAAAGAGGACAAAGGGGCAAUUUGGGAUAGUAACUGGAGAACAGGAUAUCAGCCCUGAUGAAUUUGACACAACACAUGAAGGGAUUACUGGACACCAAUGCUUUUAGAAGAAAAGCAGGGUUCUAACCCUCACUCCUGAAGGCUGCAUCUCCAGAUAAGAACUGGACUGCAGGGAGCUUGUCAGUGCAGAGGAGUCUUUUUCUGCCCACUGGAGCUUAGCCAGAAAAUCUUUGGUAAACAGGAGUUUUGAGAAAUAGAAAAGACGCUUUCCCCAUGUAGAAAACUUCAGCCUUGUUUUAUUAUCUCUUCCCUGCUCACUAGCUGGAGUCCAUGCGAUAACGGCCCCAGCCCGAGAAGGCCGGCUGCUCUGCAGGAAUGUGCCUCCCGGGGAGCCGGAGGGCGGCCGUGCAGCGCCCAUGGGAGCGCCCCGCCGCCGUGGCACUGCGGGCCCCGGCCAGGGCAGGCGCCCAGGGCUGGUCCCGGCGUCCCGGGGGAGCCGCCGGCGCCCCGGCUGUGUCCCCUGGGUGGCUGGGAAAGGCCUCGGCUGCGGGUGCUGCCCCGGGCUGGAUGCAGCGCGUGUAGAUGCUUUUCACAAGCCGCUUCGGACCGUUUCCCACAGGCAGCUGGUGUUUAUCCAGGCGUGCCGGCGGAGCUGCAUCCCCUCCUGGUCGGCGUUUCUUGUUCUGUACUGUCAUCACUUCUGGGCUUGCGUUGCUCCAGAGAUUUAUAUCAACAACGAGAAGAGCGGAGCCUUUGGGAAGGGGGAAGGCUGCUGAGCAGUGACCGCGGGGAUCGCCGUGGAGGGAGAAGCUGGACCAGCCGGAGGCUGUGACCUGGCUCCUGCUCUGCUGCUGGCUGCUGUGAGACCUUGUAUGGGUGUCUAAGACAAUUGUGAUCAAUGCCUGAUGAAGCUGACUAUCUGUCUUUGCUGAACGUAGAGGAACCCUAAACAGCUGUGUUGGCCUCGUUUCCUGGUUUCUUAGGUGGCUAAAGUGAAAGCAGGAUUAGCACAAAUCAUCCCACUGCUCUGGGGUGUUGUGGGGGCAGCGAGCAAGCAAGAAAACGAGACUCCUGUAACGGCUGGCAAAACACUCAGACCUUGAACGGGGAGCGUUGUGACACUGGCGCAGAUACCCAGGAGACCGCGUUUGCCUGAGGUGGCGAGGCUUGCAAAGGGAUUUCUCAGAAAAAUCCCUCUCCUCCCUGUUCCAUCCGCCUUCCUGCACAAAAACCCUGCCCAGCCAAAGCCGAUCUGGAGAAUUGCAGGGAACAGGCUAUUUUUAUUUCAACUGCAUCAUAAUAGCAGUGUGCAGGGGGGGAACUCCUGCUGAAUAAACAGGAAGGAAAGGAGGUUUGGUGCAUGGCAUUCUCCCAAAGUAUUUCUGGGCUGUGCUGUUAACCCCAUGGUGGCUAUUUUAUAACAAUCCUCUCCUCUUUGUUUCCAGCCUGGAUGCAGCCUUCUGGCUAACUGGAGCUCUUACCGUUUCGCACAGACCUGAGCUCUCAGCUGCCACAAGGUCUGAGAAGCUUGGUUCGGUCUCUCUGUAGAUAAGUCUGGACGGGCUCUUGGCAGAAAUAGCUUCCCAUAGGCUCCUCGGAACGGUUAUUGCUCUAGGGCAAGGAUGCAUAUAGAUACGCCACAGUCAGCUGAAAGGGUAUCAGAGGAUGGAUGUUGAAAUCCCUGGAAAUAGGCCUUUGUGCCCAGCUUUGGUGUGCCAGAUGUAGUCUAUUUGAAAAUUUUAUUUCCCUAACGUUUCUUCAGAUAAUUUAUACUAAGAGCUGGGCUGGAUAUACACCCACUUGAGUUUGUGGAGUUGUCCUGUAUUAAAAAAAAAUUAAAAACUGGAGCCAGCUUUGUUUGGAAGCUUCCGCUAAUGAUCUCAUUCCUCUUCUGAAACCUCUGAGAGCUCUCUCUGCUAGGCAGUUAGACCUGGAUCAAACACGGAAGUCUGUGUGCAAAUCCUUGCUCAGAAAGCCUCUAAAUUGCACUCUAAAUGUCAGAAAUGUGGUGAUCUGUGAAAUCAUGUGUGACUGUGUUAGCUUUUCACAAUUAGCAGUGGUAUUAAGGACUUUCUUUAAUGAGGAGAGCAGCAAAGGCAAAAAAAAUUGGCUGUUUUUAAAAGGAGCUUUUAAUUCAAUAAAAGCAAACCCUAUCAUCAAGGCUCUCAGGAACGUACUAGCUAGCUUGCUGUUAACUGUAUCGAAACAGUGGAGAAAAUCACCUGCUGAACAGACAGGAAAUAGGGACUGGAGCAAGAACCCAGCAACAAGGCAGGAAUACAUACAGUGACAACUGCCUUAGCAAGAGGAGCCUUUCUCCUGCAUGCAGUACGUUCAUGUCCUCAGAGACAAAAAACAGGUAUAAGUGGUCAGUAGGUUAAAAGAAUAUUAUUAUAAGAUUUUGGGAUCCAUGUGUGCUCUCAGUUCACCAUACAAUAGAUCUUUGUUUUCUCAUCAGAAAGUUUGUAUUCAUAAUUUGAAGAAAGCCUACUAUUUCAUCCCAGUAAAAAAAAUGUUCUGUUUGCUAGUAGAUCAAAGAUAUUCCAAAGCAAAGUUCUUUCCAUAUUGUUUGAGAAAUUGUGGUUAUAGACCACCAGCAUUCAUUGGCCAUCUACCAGCCAGUCUUUUAUGGCUAUUUGGCAGAGAUACUGGGAAAAGUAUGUAGAGUUUGCUACUAUUAGCAAAAUCAUACACUGUAAUAUUAACUGUGGAUAGUAUAUGAAAAUAGAUAAAUACAAAAUGUGGGUGAAAUAAAGUUGGUCAUGAAAGGAUGUGAAUGUUUAGAAAAACCAACCAACCAACCAAAAAAAAAAAAAAAAAGAAAAGAAAAGAAAAGAAAAAACCCCACCACCCUGAGAAUUCAAUAGCUUUAUUAGGUCCAAAAAAGUUUGAGACUGACAAAAAAGGUAGUUUCAAGGAGUUAGUGGAAACCUAAACUAGAUGUCUACUGAAGAAACAACAGACUCCACAGAAAAUGGAUCCCCUACAGUCCAUAUCUUUGUUAAUAUAGGACCAGAAUCCAUAACUUUUUAAAUAUAGGAUCAUAAGUAGUUGCCAUCCAGUCUAACCAUUCUACUUGUACAUCAGUUAUGUGCCUUUUUCUACAGCCUGGAGAUGGUGUGUGAGGGAAACCCUGUCGCUCUUAAACGUGAAUGUUCACCUCUGUUCAUGAAACAAAGACUCACCCUGGUUAAAUACUGAAUCUCCUUCGUGGAUGGAAAUAACAGCCGAGUUCCUCUGAGUGCAAGAUGUUCUGGGCAAUGACAGUGCAAUUAGGUAUGCAUGAAGACCAGAGGCCCUAACUGGGCUUCUGAGGCCAUAUGCAGUUGCUGGGAUCGUCGUACCUGGAUAAGCUCUCCUUCUCAAUUCGUAAUGAUGUCCAACCGGCAAAUGAUGCUUGCUGUUUUCUAAAGUCAGCUGAUGCAUAUUUACAUUGGUGAAGAAGAGGACGGACUCCGCAGCGUGCAGGACUUGCUUGUGCUCUUUUGUGUGAAGGCUGAGCCCGGCUGGGACUACACCCUGUGCUCACCCCUCAGGUAAAGCCGUACAGCUUUCCAAGAACUGGUUCUUCUUCUUCCCAUAACUAGACCAUCCUGGUCACAUAGCACCGAGGGAGUGGAAAUCUGACUCAUCUUUUUUUACAGUUGCAGUUGCAAGGCUCUAACAAAAAACAGAUGGGGGGAAACAUGCCCAAAUAUUUAACAAACCGAGCUGCUCUUCCCUGAGAUCCUUCCCUCCUUCCCCAGCAACAGCGUGCCUUGCUGCGAAUUGCACUAUCUCUGCAGGAGCGCUGCCAGAUUACCAGUGAUGUGGCUGAGGCAAUCUCUAACUGCUGAAGCUGUUAUAUCUCUGUAAUUGCAUUUGCAGCUAACGAGGCCUACCAGUCCCAGUUCUAAACUCUGUCUUCCAUGAAAAACGCUGUUCAUUACUACUUCAUCAAGGCUGCUCCGAUUACUUGAGUCAUUGAUCUGAAAAGCUUGGGGAAGGAGAUGUGCGAGUUGAAACUAACUCACAGUUCUUGUGUCCUAAAUGAGUGAUUUUGUAACUAAGUAAUGAUAUUCUUAAAUUUUUUUUCCAAAAUAUUCCUUUAAAGAUCAAAGCUUCCAUUUUUGAAGAUACUGGUUUGUUUUUCUCCAGAAUUUGUGGCUCCUGAUUCAGUGUUGUAUGUGUAAAAUUGUUUAAAUAUACCAAGGAAAUGAUAAGUGUUGCUGUAUGUGGAUGAGAGGAUAUUUUCCAGUGGUCAGCAAGCAGCUCUAAUGAAUCAAUCCUGUUAACCUGCUUGCAUAUGGUAUUUGCAACUCAAGAAAAAGAGAGAGAAUAGCUAGAGAUUUGGCUGUUCACUAAAAUAUAGUUGGGUGUAUAUGAUUUUGUGGUUAUGUGUGUGGCCAUGACAGAUAAUUCCUAGCAUUUUUACAAACAAAGUUGUGCAUUGUUUAUAGCAGCUAAGCCACUUAAUGCAACUUUAUCUACCAGUAAGGAAGCAUAUAUGAAGAAAAAUAUACUUUCAUUUUCCUCUGUGCAUGACAGGGCCAUAUACACAUCUUAGAGUAGUAGAAAUAAAAGGCACACAUGGCUGUCAUCUCACUAAUUUCUGUUUUUAUAAAUGCAAACAAUUAUCUUAUGUUGAAAGAAAACUGAAUUUUUCAGUGGAGUUCAACUUUGCAGACAUUUCUUCUGGCUUAGAUGCAAUAACUGGGCAAGAAAUAUAGCUUGAAUUAAUGUCUAGAAAACUUUUAACUCAUGUUUGAUUUCUAGUGGCACAACUUGUUGCUUGAAAUUUUGGUUUAUUUCCAGCAUUUUUUCUUUCUUUUUAUUCCAACAUUCCAACACAUUUAAAAAUGUAUGUGUGGGGAUUUUUUUUUUUAAUGUAUAUGCUCAAUAGUUUCAUAACCAAUGACAUUUGUUACUAUUCAUGUUCAAAGGCGUACUUAGUAGUAAGAUUGCUUCAACCAAAGUAGGUAAGAGUUCUGCACACCGCUCAGGGAGAAAACAGCUUGUAUGACUACAACAUGAUGUAAAGGACAACUGUUUCUCUGGUGUCAGUUUAUACCCUUGAAUGUAUGCAUGUGAAUUCUGGUAAAGGCAAUGGGAGUUGGGCUGCAUACAGUUUUAUAACUCACUUUUCAGUGAUAAGCUGGCUGAACUAAGGAGCUGCUUUCUGCACAAAGUGCAAGGCCUGUGUUGGAGCUAAAAUCAUUUUCACAGUGCAGAGCAAAAAAGGAUAUGGUUAUAAAAUUCAGAUGUGAAUUUUAUAUACUGUAGGCCAGGUUCUUCACGUAUCUACAAAAGAAAAAAGAAACCCAGCCCACUCUGUCACUGGGUGUAUAACCAUAACUGGAUGUUUGUUCAGCCACUAAGGAGACUUUUUACAUAUUUGAAUGUGGUCCAGAUUCAUACUUCUGUCCCUCUGCCUCUAAGAAGGGUGUUUGGGAAUUGUAUUUGAUCCAGACUAACUGUUAGCUAAGUUUGUUACUAAAUGUUUUUUCUUUAAUCAGGUACAAGAUCUAUAGCAGGAAACAUCCAUUAAAAAUGCAUACUUUUUAAUCCCCUGCUCUCCGCCCAUUGCUGGUAGCAUUGUAUCCUUGUCUGGGUAGACACUGUGAGUCAGAUCUUUACCUUUCAGGGCAUAAUUGCUGGGAGGGAAAAUAUUCCCCUGAGAAUAAAUAGGAUGCGUGAGUGAUGCACCAGUUCAUAUUUCUCCUUAAAAUGUGAUGUCUCUUCCUGAACAAAUGACCCUUAUAUGGUAAAAGAGCAGCCUGUUCUUCUGGCCCUGAGUUUUUGGAAGCAUCACUUCUAAGAUGUUUGGUACUAAGAGGUAUCUGGAAGAUCAAAUUAUUUUCUCUUUAAUCAGUAAUAAAUGAUGAGUCUGAACACAGUGCAUGUUUACUUCAUGCUCAUUCCUGAAAGAGACGUGAGAAAAAAGGAUAAACCAGACAGCCUGUUAUUCUUGCUGCUAUUGCUGUCUAUAAUACUUCCUUUUCUUUUACAGCUGUUCAGUACCUGAUGGAAAAUUCCUGUUCAAUGCAAUCAGAAAGAGCCUUUUAAUUAUUUUUGUGUACCUAUUCCACUGAAUUUAAUCAGCAGUUACAUUCCUGCUGUAAGUUGGUAAGAGGCUUUAAAAAAAUCCAUCAUCUACUAAAUUCCAUGAAAUUAAAAUCUGCAGAAAUUGUCUAGAACCAGACUUGGUUCGGUUGUAUAAAAUGAUUCUCUAGAGUUACUAGCCUAAGUUAUUCUCAUCCCACAAAGAGGAAUUAAUUAAACAUGGACAAUAGAGGGGAAGAUGACACUUCUGGUGUGGUAGGGUUUUCUUCUUCUCACUGCACGUUGCACCACUUUUCAGCACAUUUGAGAUUUGAGUUUCUCCAGCCUUUCUCCCAAUUAAAUUAGAUUUUGUGAAGUCAACAGUACUUCCGUAAGUGGGAGCAUUCACAGUGGAUUUUUUUAAAGAUAAGCUCAAAGACAAGGGCAAAACUCCCAACGACUAGUGGGGACAGAAGCCACCUGCACGUCAGCCUUGUUGAGACAGCAGCAUCACUUUGCGCGUGGCAGGGGAGACUGACAUCUCACUGAGAGACAGAGGAGCAGGCUGCGAGUUAAACUAUUUAUCAGAUGUGUGCUGAAGUCUUGGCUAAAGAGCAUGGUGCAGUUUGUGAAUAGCAGUGUUCAUGAGGUGUUACGUGUUGUCAGACCUUAUCAGGACAGGGUCCAAUUAAGGCCUGAUUAUACACUCACUGGGGCCACUGGGGCUUUUCUAAUAGCUGCAGAGAUUGCUUGGUCAGGCUUUAGGUAUGAAAGCAGAGGUCUGGUUUCCUACCAAAGUGUACAAGUAUCUCACAUGACAGGCCAUUUGUGCACAAGUGAAGGAAGGAGGAAGGUGUUAAGCAUGUGCUUUACUGAGCACCAGGCACUGGAGUGACUAUCUUUGCUCACUGGUGCUCUGUGAGAGUAAAGGUGUAUUAAAAGUUUUAUGCUGGGACUCCUCUGAACCCAAAAUGUCAAGAGGCAGGAAGGCAAAUGAAUUGAUUCUAAUGAAAGUGUAAUCCAAGGUGCUGUAAACCAGAUUUUUCUGUGUGGUGUUUAGUCACAAGAGUAUUUCUUGGCUGUUACUUAUAUAUGUUGUUUUUUUCAAGUCUUUCAGUUUACAGAAGCCUAGAUACAUCUUCUACUGAUAAACAUUAGAAGGCAGGCACAGUCUGACUAAGCUUCAUGGAAAAACAAUCUCCCAACCUACUUUAAAAUUUUGCAUUUUUUUCCUUUCUGCACUUAAACUGAACCCCCAAACACUCGAUAGCUUUUUGUGCAGAAGCUCUGCUCAAAUCUGAAGAAGUGGCUCCUGUGACAAGUGGUACAUGAAUUUCACCAGGAACUUUCAGUGAAUUGACCGUUUCCAGUUGCCUAAAGUCUCCCAAUCUACUCUAAACUAGAUGACUGGUGGUGAAAAUAUUUACAGCUAGUAUAAGGUGAGGACAUAAGAACAAGGCUUUUCAACUGCAUUUACCAUUACUCCUACUAGUACAAGUUUAAAAAAAGGUAUAUUUACUGCCAUUCUGUACAACUUUUUGCUUGUGUUACAUAGUUCCAUAGUCCCUUUGAAGCUGCCUGUUAGUGUAUUCAUACAGCUAGAACAAUUUUAGGUGUUUUCCAUGACUUUUCAGUUGUAAAUCCUACAUCUAUAGUAUCAAAGAUGUUAAGAGUUUUUAGUAACUAAGCGCCAUUUUCCUGAACCUUGCCAGCCACACAUUUAGAAAUUUGCUUAAAAUCUAUAUGUAAAAAGUGAGCCUGCAACUGGAUAUACAAUUAGAUGGAAAAAAUGUUGUAUGUAUGAAAAUGGCGUAACUGCAUGAAUGUAUUUAAAUGGAAGGCUGAAAGUUUCUAUAAAUCUGGCCAUCCCUGAGGCAGAACUGCGAGGUUACAGAGGUUUGCAAGCUCUUAAUACAGUUUGGCUUGAUUUACACCCAUCAUCCUCUGUAGUCAAGUGCAAUCUUAACCUUUUACAUUAUACACAUGUUGCAGAACUGGAGGCUGAUUCAUCUUUGAAGCAAGAAUCUCCCAAGGCAAAGAUCUUUAAUCAUACUGUGAAAUAGCCCUGUGAUAAAAUCUGUACUACUUAACCUUGGGACCAUGAUAAUGUCCACGUCAUUAGCACAAAGUCUAAAAAGAUUAGGAAAGUGAGCAUGUCACAUAACUUGCUGGAAACACUCGACUCCUUUAGAAGUGGCACAGUUUCAGUACUAGUGCUGUUGCUCUCCUUCCACGCUGCGCCGUCCGCACCCUGUUUGGCGAGUGGCACCUUCGUGUCUCCAUGUGUGCUGACCUGGUUCCUGCCGGCUCCCUGCCCUGCUGCCCUCUCCUCCCUCUCUCCCAGCAGCGGUGUGUUAAGAGAAUUGCAAAUUCGCACAUGCAGUGUUACAGGUGCAGGCUCAGACCAGCCUCUUCCUUUGCAGCUGACCAGCUGAACCUGGACUGCAAGGCGCAUUGCACACACGCUGCUAAGGACUCCACUGGGGAUGCUUUCCUGUUUUUCUUUUUAUUGCUGCUGCUGAGUGACAGCAGAGAACAAACCUGAAAUAGAAAAGGCUAUGGGAGCAGCUUGUUCAGGCCUGGCCUAUGGAAAACAGAGCACUUGAACAGACAGCCUGAUGUUAACAAGUGCCUUAAUCCCUCACAAAAAUCCAGUCUCAAAUUUUCUCUUUUCCUCAAGGGCCAGAGUUUAUUUCAAACAGGAAGAAAAUGCCUGUAUGUCUUCUAUCUAUUUAAAUAUUGAGAAAAAGCUUUAGUGAAAGUUAACUGGUUUUAAGCUUGCUGAAUUAUUCUUAAACUUAUACUACUGUAUUUAAUCAUUCAGUAGAAUCAGCAGAAUUAUGACUGGAGCUGAUUCCAGAAACCAGUGAUUAACAAGCGGGUGAAAUGGAUAUUUCGAAGAUCAGUCAAGUCACACGCACAGCCAAAAAAUUUAAUGGUCCCUUCCCAUAGACCACAUAUACACCAUUACUUAUACAGACAUGCAUGCAAUCUGGGUGGUAACUUCUCAGAAGUUAAUAAAUAAAAAAUGCUGUCUUCUCCUUUUCACAAAACAGAAAAAAGAAGAAUAUUGGGAAUGGGAAAUGAUUUGCCCCCUAAAUCACACUGUUCUUUGGAAUACUACAGCUGGCAGUUUAUUUACAACAUUUGUAAUUGGAUUAAAAAUCUGUUUGUUCCCCAAAAAUAAUAAUAAAAAAGAAUAAGAUGAGUAGGAGAUGACCUGUUGCAACCUGUCAUAUCUUCCUUUUUGGGAUUAAUCUGAUUGCUCCAAAUUUAUUCAGGCCUCACAUGUUCUUGGCUGUAUCCCAAAACCUAAUGAGAACUGUGAGUCUCUCACCCAUGCAAAGACUGCAUGCACCCUUUCAGAAUCUCCUAAAAUACUCUUGGACAUGUUCUGCCAGCAAAAUAUUGGGGAUCCUGCCCUAUUUGUGUCUUAACAAGAUAAACCACUGCCUUGCUGACUGCAGUAAGGCUGUAAAACAAAGUAAUUUAGACAACCUUGAUAUAAAUCUAUUUUAAGCUAUAAAGACUUGAAGUUUAUCCUGCUAGAGAAAAGCAGUUUAGAUGCACUAGACUUCCAUGAGACAGAGGCAUAUUUCCCACAUAAUUUUGGUAUGAACUGCAAGACCCCAUUUUUCUUGUUCUCCAUUUCCAAACACAGCUAAUAUCUGCCUACCAUAAUUAUUUUCCUCUGGCUAGGCCAGGCUGAGAGAUUUUGGGUGAAAUCAAUUAAACCCUUGGAAGUAUGCAACAAGUUGGAAUGUGUUAAAGUUUCACCAAGAAAGAAAACACCGUUUCUCUACAGGGAUGAUAAAAAAGUUGGGAUCCUUCAAUCCUAGCCUACUUUUUGUGAGACAAAGACUUACAAUUGUGCUUUGUUUCAAAACCGAGGAUGAGCUUCUCUUCAUGGAGCUCGUGGUGGUGGUUAACACAGGAUUCCUCAGUGACUCAUCAAUGCCUUGGAGUGGGGGAAGUCUUCAGCACAGGAGUCACGCCUUCAACAUCUAAUGUCAAAGUCUGAAUUAGAAAUACCUUUACACAAAGCAAUUGGUUCCAAGAUGCAGUGGUCAGCUGAAAAAAAGGCAGUGCCUGGAGGCAGUGGUUUAGCUUUUGGUGCCAGCUAGCUUGGAACUGUUUUGAUCUGUAUUGUGACUUAAGAGCAACUGAGGAUAGUGUAUGAAUGUGACAUUUUGAUGCAAGGAGGGAGGAAGUCAAAGGCAAAUUAGUAAAUGAUUUCUAAUAGAUCUGCCAAUCAAAAAACUGGCCAUUGGACAACAGCCAAAAAGCAAAGAUGAACCAUGCUAAUAUCCAAAUGAAUGAGCUAAUCAGAUAACUGUCGUCCAGCCCACUGGCGCUGAAGUGUCUGUUUACUGCCAUGGACAGUCUGGGAGGCCAUUUGUGACUGUAAACAACAGUAAGUAUUUAAGCAUCUGCUGAACUGUAGUGCACGGAAUAGCAAGGAAUACAGCAACAUGUUGUUACCUCAACAAGGAACACAACAACCGCAGCUCAGCCACAUAAAGCCCCUUCCCUGUCUCUUGCAGAAAAUAAAUGUCCUGCUGUUUCUGGGUGCCAGAAGUUGCAGAAUCCAUGAGGUCUCAUGUAAGGCUGUAAGAGGGGAAGAGAGGAGGCAGGAUCCUGGCUCUUUUGAAACCUUUAAGGACAGAUGUACCAGUGCGCUGGAUGUUGCUUCAUUGCAUCAGGCUAUUCUCCUCCUGCGAAGCAGAGGGACUGUGAGACUCACUGCAUCAAAUAUUCUCCAAAGGUGGGCCAAUGAGAGCAGCACUGCAGUCCAGCUUUUAUUGGGGUGACUGCAGCUAAGCUUCAGUAUCAUUGAACUCGACAGGCCACAGCUGGUAAGAAAGUAGGGCAGCAUGUCUCUGGGUCAGUGACUGGACUUGUCCCUCAGCUAUGCAUUCCCUUAAUCUCAGAGGAGAAAUUACUGUGUAUUUCUCAGUAAUGAAAACUGAAUCUCUCUCCGCUCUGACUGGCUGAAGGUGCAUGGACAUACAUCUCUGUGUUAUAUAGAAAAGCCUUUGGUUUGAUGCUGUGUGGCGAAGUCAGCGUGCUCGUCAGAAAUAUUGUCACUUCAGUGUCUGAUCUGCUUUUCACCACCUUUCUCCCAGUGCCAGGUAGAAUAAAAUAAUAAAACUCAGAUCUGUACACACAGGGAGGGCUAAAAGAACAGACCUUGCCCACGAUCGAGGAGGAACUGCAGAGAUGUAUUAAGACGUUAAGGAUUAGGGAGAGUGACAAAGCAAGGUGGAGUUACAAACCGGAGUGAUGAUGUUCGCGAUGGAUAUAUCUAUGGACAUCUGGAGGAUAUUGCCGCUCUGAACACAAGAGGCUAAUAUUGUAAUGAAGUAUGAGAGGGAGGGCAAUAGUUCAUGCUCCUCUUCGACCACUCAGUGACUGUUGCCUGGGUGAGAACUCGCUGGUUCUCAGUAUUAGACUGUAUUCUGUGGUGUAGUUACUACCUUUAGAAAAAUAAUAAGCACUGUAAUAAAAUGUAUUAAAGUUUUUCUCGUAA